GACGAACGCUGGCGGCGUGCUUAACACAUGCAAGUCGAACGGAAAGGCCCUGCUUUUGUGGGGUGCUCGAGUGGCGAACGGGGGAGUAACACGGGGUUAACCUGCCCUGGACUUGGGGAUAACUUCAGGAAACUGGGGCUAAUACCGGAUAGGAGCUCCUGCGGCAUGGUGGGGGUUGGAAAGUUUCGGCGGUUGGGGAUGGACUCGCGGCUUAUCAGCUUGUGGGUGGGGUAGUGGCUUACCAAGGCUUUGACGGGUAGCCGGCCUGAGAGGGUGACCGGCCACAUUGGGACUGAGAUACGGCCCAGACUCCUACGGGAGGCAGCAGUGGGGAAUAUUGCACAAUGGGCGGAAGCCUGAUGCAGCAACGCCGCGUGCGGGAUGACGGCCUUCGGGUUGUAAACCGCUUUCGCCUGUGACGAAGCGUGAGUGACGGUAAUGGGUAAAGAAGCACCGGCUAACUACGUG
rnacentral:rRNA from 1 species